CUUUUAUGUAAUUUUGAAGACCUUUUAUAUUAGAUUUUUAUAUCUUGCAUCUUACAUCUGUAAAUAAAGUGCUUCGUCAGUAAGAUAACUUUAUUUUAAUAAAAUUCAGUUUAUAAUUUUCAUAGAGGCCAAAAAUGACAAUUUUCAAAUUAAGUGGAAUUUCGAUAAGAACCCUAUCUAAAAUCCAUGAAUUUAGAUUGUGCCAAAUGUAGGCUACAAUAUGACAACCCCAAAAUAAAUGUGCUAUAGUUUCAGGCUCUUCCUUGCAAAAUGUACACAAAUUACGAUUAACAAGCUUCAUUUCAAAAAGUAAAGUAUUUGUCCCUAAAAUAUAAUGAAUAAUUCUAUAUUGAAAUCAACUUAACCUAGUGUUUUUUAAACCUUGGUAACAC
rnacentral:lncRNA from 1 species